AACGCGAAGAACCUUACCCAGGCUUGAACAGCGAGUGACCAGCGAUGAAAGUCGCCUUCCGCAAGGACACUCGUAGAGGUGCUGCAUGGCUGUCGUCAGCUCGUGUCGUGAGAUGUUGGGUUAAGUCCCGCAACGAGCGCAACCCUUGUUUGCUGUUGCCAUCACGUUAUGGUGGGCACUCUGCAAAGACUGCCGGUGAUAAACCGGAGGAAGGUGGGGAUGACGUCAAGUCAGCAUGGCCUUUAUGUCUGGGGCUACACACGUGCUACAAUGGCCGACACAAACCGUCGCAAAACCGUAAGGUCGAGCUAAUCGGAUAAAGUCGGUCUCAGUUCGGAUUGCAGGCUGCAACUCGCCUGCAUGAAGCUGGAAUCGCUAGUAAUGCUAUAUCAGAACGAUAGCGUGAAUACGUUCCCGGGCCUUGUACACACCGCUCGUC
rnacentral:rRNA from 1 species